GUUUUCAUUUCAGCAGCACAUAUACUAAAAUAGGAACAAUACAGAGAAGAUUAGCAUGGCCCUUAUGUAAGAAUGACAUGUAAAUUCAUGAAGCAUUCCAUAAUUUU